rnacentral:lncRNA from 1 species
AUGCCCAGUGCGGCGGCGCCGGACCUGAGCCACUCUGCGCAGCCUCGCUGGAUGCCGACGCGCGGGCCCGGGUCCUGCAGCAGCGCUAGCUACUCUGUGCGCCUGACACCCCGGCCCUUCGGCAGCCCCAGUGUUCCUGUAAACGUUGGAGCCAAGAGCCGGAGUCAGCGCCUUGGACCUGGGAGAGGCCAGGAGGCCAGGGAGCCUCAAGCACUCUGGAGGAAGAAGCCUGAAAUGAAAAGAGAAAUGACAACAGUCACUGUCAUACAGAAGCCCAAGUGCCUUUACCAGAGUGUGAGCGAUGUCACUGUUUCCCCCUCUUUCCCAGCCACCGUUCCGGUCUCUCAGAAGCUGACUUUUCCCACCUCCACCUCCCUCCUCUGCUGCUGUGGCUGCACUCCAGAGCCCACCCGCCCGAACCCUUCUCCAAAGGAAUUGACUCUUCUGCAGUCCCCCUCCCUGUGGCCUGAAGACACAGUUUUCCUAAUAGAGCGUUUCAUAGCAGCAAAGCGGUUGUCGAUAAACCCUUCAGGUCGAGCAGAGCCCGUGAGUCAAAGGAAAUCCGCGCUAGUCAUUGAGCACUGA